CCCGGCUUAAAUCCACGAGCACACUCCCCAUCCCGAAUUCGCACGAGCCCCGUGCUCACCGCUCAAAACCCUCCCCCUUCCCCUCCGGGCUCCGGCGGCGGCGGCGCCUCUCCUCCGGCGAGGUUUCCUCCUCUACACCACAGGAAAACAUGGAUGUGCCUGUUGAGGACCCUGUGGAGAAUAACCUGGCUGGAACUUCUCCUACCCUUGGCAAUGAGGAACAAGCCAAUCCUUAUGCUAAUGUGCAAGAGAAGAUCGGUGAAGAGCCUGAAAAGCCGUAUGAUGGGGAAUCCAAAGACCCAACACCUCAUGAGUUGGGGAACUCUGAGCAUGCGGACGUGAACAAUGAAGUUGCGGGGGAUCUAAGCAAAGAGGGCCGAGCUACCCCCAUGCAGCAGGAGCCUGCAAAUGUCUCUGUUGGGGAAGCUGGGACAAAGCAGCAGGGUAUUGUGGUGCCUGAUGAACAGAAAUGGCCUGGGUGGCCUGGAGAAAGCGUGUUCCGUAUACUGGUUCCUGUCACAAAGGUGGGUGCUGUCAUCGGGCGAAAAGGAGAAUUCAUCAAGAAAAUGUGCGAGGAAUCCAAAGCUCGCAUUAAGGUCCUUGAGGGCCCACAAGGCGUGCCAGAAAGAGCUGUAAUGAUUUCAGCAAAGGAUGAACCAGAUGCGGAGCUACCUCCAGCUGUUGAUGGGUUGCUUAGAGUUCAUAAAAGGAUAGCUGAUGGUUUAGAUGUUGAAACCGAUCAGCCUCAACGAGUCACCGCUGGGCCCACAAGGCUACUGGUUCCAGCUUCCCAAGCUGGAAGCCUGAUUGGCAAGCAAGGAGGAACUAUUAAAUCCAUACAAGUCGCUUCAAAUUGUGCUCUCCGAAUUGUUGAGAAUGUUCCUCCUGUGGCAUUAAAUGAUGAUAGAGUUGUUGAGAUACAGGGUGAACCUCUUGAUGUUCACAAAGCCGUGGAGCUGAUUGCAAGUCAUUUGAGAAAAUUUCUUGUUGACCGCAGUGUUCUCCCUUUGUUUGAAUCCCAGAUGAAAGCGUAUUAUGUGCACAGAGAGCAACCUAUGCCACCUCCGCAGCCAUGGGGUCCCCCUCCACCCUCACCCUGGGGUCAUCCACCAAACCUUCCUCCUGGUGUCCCAGGUUAUAUUGGGAAUCCACAAUACAUGCCUCCACGACCACAAGACAACUAUUAUCCUCCUCCUGAUAUGCCCCCUGUAGAAAAGCAACCACACUAUGGAAUUUCUUCAUAUGGACGUGAUGCACCUCCAAGUGCUCCCUCAGGAAAUCAGCACCAUGCACAUGGGUCUUCUCAGGUGACACACAGCAUGCAAGUUCCUCUUUCCUAUGCAGAUGCUGUGAUUGGAGCAGCUGGUGCCAGCAUCAGCUACAUCCGCAGGCAUAGUGGCGCAACCAUAAGUAUCCAAGAAGGUGCUCCUGGGGAGAUGACAGUGGAGAUAACAGGAAGUGCCUCACAAGUACAAACUGCACAGCAGCUGAUCAAGAAUUUCAUAGCUGAAGCUUCUCCCCAGGGGCCGCCAGCUCCUGCUGCACCCGCUCAAUCAGUUGACACAGGCUACAGCUCUUCUUACCCACCAUACCGCGGAGCAUCAUACGGAUCUCCCCCAGGCAGCGCGGCUCCAGGCCCACACAAUGGAGGAAGCUAUGGCGCUGCACCGUAUCCGCCGAGCUACGGAUACUAGUCGGAGGGAAAACCUGGUUUCCUAGUUGCAGAUCUUGGGGAAAGGGGGGCAUUCUGGUUUUGUUUGCUAGUCGCCUAGUCUGUUCAUCUGUUGAGAACUUGAGAGGUCGUUAGGGUUUCUGAACUAGCUUGUGGUGUUGUAAGCUGCUUUCUGUUCCAAAGCCGAUUGUGUUAUGCGCGCACGCUCUUUCUUUCCUCUGUGGUUGCGUGAACUUACCAUUCCAUAUUCGCAAAAGGUAGCGGUCGUAGUAUUCCAAUGAUA